UUCUGGGAGGAUUGGCAGAUUGAGAGCUCUUUCUUGAUUCGGUGGAUGGUGGUGCAUGUCCGUUCUUAGUUGAUGGAGCGAUUUGUCUAGUUAAUUCCGAUAACGAACGAGACUCUAGCCUAUUAAAUAGGUGCGUGGUUCUCUGCACCUUGCACCCUUCCCAGAGAGACAAGCGGCUACUAGCCGCACGAAACAGAGCAAUAACAGGUCUGUGAUGCCCUUAGAU
rnacentral:rRNA from 1 species